CCGGAGCCUUGUGGUAGAGUCGGGAGCUGCUUAUGGUCCUGAGGUGGGGGAAGGGAGGGGAGUGGUGGGCCCACUCCAGGCCAGUCACUGCCUUUUGACUUCCCUCUGGGGAAGGGAAAUUCCACUUGUAGAAAUCAGCUUCUAAAAUAAAAGAUGAUCAGAUGUCUAAUAUAGACCCUCCACUGGGCCCACUAGGAAGGGACACAGAGUAUCUCAGAACUUAAGAACAGGACCUCUUAUUUCUGGGCCAAAAGUGUGCCCGGAAAGUAGCAGGCAGCUCUGCCUGGCACAGGGCUGGCUCCCUGGCUGUGCCUGGGCUCUGCUUCCCUCCAGAGUAGUUGCUGCCUUUUUUCAGAUCAGGUGACCAAAACACCUCCCCUGUGCUGAGCUGCUGACCCUCAUCACCCAGACCUCCAGCCCGUGACCCGAAGCACCUCAGAACCCACUUUGCCGGUGCUAACAUACAAGAGGGAAUUAGGGUGGCUGCCAGCCAUGGCCAGAAAGCAGUCACCUGGUAGCCAGGCCAGAAGACAAGCUCCAGGUACCCAGGCCCAUCACCUCCCAGCCCCACGGGGGUCCCUCUUGACUCGAGCCUUCUCUAGGGAGAGGGAUACUGCACCUUCACCUGUAGGACUCAUAUUUAUAACAAUGUGUAAUGACUGUAGCAAAAAGCCCUUGUUUCUAGAUGUAAAUGGUCAAAGAAACAAGAGCUCUAUUGUAUUGAUUAAAAUAGUUCAAAUGAGUCCUGUAUCAUCGUAUCUCCUAUUCUGGAUUAGUGCCUUUUGGACAGUAGACUGUUCUGUAAUUAAAAUGUAGUAUACUGCUUUUUUGUACAGUUUUGUUUUAAUAAAACUUUUUUUUAAUUUGUGUUUAUUUUAGUAUUGUACCUAUUAGAGAAUAAAACGUAUAACUGAACAAA